rnacentral:rRNA from 1 species
AGCGAACGCUGGCGGCAGGCUUAACACAUGCAAGUCGAACGGGCAUCUUCGGAUGUCAGUGGCAGACGGGUGCGUAACACGUGGGAACGUACCCUUCGGUUCGGAAUAACUCAGGGAAACUUGAGCUAAUACCGGAUACGCCCUUUUGGGGAAAGGUUUACUGCCGAAGGAUCGGCCCGCGUCUGAUUAGCUUGUUGGUGGGGUAACGGCCUACCAAGGCGACGAUCAGUAGCUGGUCUGAGAGGAUGAUCAGCCACACUGGGACUGAGACACGGCCCAGACUCCUACGGGAGGCAGCAGUGGGGAAUAUUGGACAAUGGGCGCAAGCCUGAUCCAGCCAUGCCGCGUGAGUGAUGAAGGCCUUAGGGUUGUAAAGCUCUUUUGUCCGGGACGAUAAUGACGGUACCGGAAGAAUAAGCCCCGGCUAGCUUCGUG